rnacentral:lncRNA from 1 species
AUAAUCUUACUGGGGUGGUAGACUAAAGGUUGAUAAUCUUACUGGGGUGAUAGACUAGAGGUUGAUAACCUUACUGGGGUGGUAGGUUGUAGACUAGAGGUUGAAAACCGUAAUGGGGUGGUAGACUAAAGGUUGAUAACCUUACUGGGGUGGUAGGUGGCAGACUAAAGGUUGAAAACCGUACUGGGGUGGUAGGUGGUAGACUAAAGGUUGAUAACCUUACUGGGGUGGUAGACUAAAGGUCGAUAACCUUACUAGGGUGGUAGAUUAGAGAUUGAUAUCCUUACUGGGGUGGUAGACUAGAGAUUGAUAAACUUACUGGGG